UGAGGAGACGGUCGCGCACGGGACCGGCCGGGAGGUUCGCGGCCUUCUGGAAGUUCGUGAGGAGCUUGUCGCGGAUCGCCUCCGCCUCCUCGA
rnacentral:tRNA from 1 species